UUUCUGUAAUUUCUACAGCAAAAUUUUACAGUUACUUCUUGUUCUGUCAUUUUACAAAGUUUAGCUGUUCAUUGCAAUGCAUUGUGGGUCAAAAAACUAUUACAGAAGUUGACAGCUUUUCCCCCACAAUAAAUUACAGGUAUAUUUGUGCUUGCCUGUAAAUGAUGCAGUAUUACAGUUAUUCACUGUUGAAUGCGUUGCACGAGGCAGCUUGACGCCAUUUUAUGUCGGAUUGCAGAGGAGCAGGGACAUUGCCACGCCACUCAUGCACAAAUGUGUUGGCAACAGACGUUGAAAAAAGACUACAGUUUCCUGACUCUAAUUGUCUUAGGUGAAUCAGCGUUUGGAUGCUGAGCAUCGGGUGGUUGUGCCUCCACAUCCCAACUUCGUGGCUGGAAUGGCAGCUUUGUUUUCUAGCUACUACAACUUCAAUAUUGUGUACCAGGAGCAAGUGCACACUGGAGUUCAUUCAAAGAUGCUUCAUUGGACUGAACCCCUCCAGUGGGACCAAGACAGCAAAGGUGGUUAGCCAAAAAAGAGGGAAGGUACAGGAGAAACUGCAUUAACCCUCACGUCACCUCUCUACUUAAGCGGCUGAUAGAUUUUGAAUGGCUUCAAUUGUAAGUCUCAAGCGACUUCCUCACAAUAUGAAUGGACAAUGUUCUAAAUGUUUUCUGAAUUUCACUGAAUGUUAAGAAAAUGAAUAGAAUAUGCUGUUAAGAAAAAGACAUUCUGAAAAUGUACAGUAUUGUAACACUGUAUUUUGUUUUAAUAAUAAAAUUUCAUGAUUUUGCAUCUUG